rnacentral:lncRNA from 1 species
CGAAUCCUUUUCACUGUAAUAGGUGGUUUUCCUAAGAUUAUACGUGUGUGUCUUCCGGGAGUAAGUAUCUUUAAAUAUAUCUUGAAAAAAACAUGUUCAGCA